AGAUAACAGCUGUGAUCGGCAAAUACAUACUUACACCAUGCCUAUUAUAGAACCCAGACAUCUCAGACUCCACUCUUCUUCUUAUCAAACUGGACAUGUCCCGGAGGAGAUGACAGUAUGAACUAUGCAGAAGACCAGUCUUUGGCAGAGGGAAGUUAUUAUCAGAGCAGCACUGUGCAGUGUUACUUGCCCUUCAUCAAAUGAGAUUUUAAAUGGAUAGAAGAUGUCUGUUAACCAAUUAGUCGAGAUGCAGCUUCAUUGAAAUCAAUGGAGCGAUGCCCAAUUACAACAGCAGGGAAUCUAACCCA
rnacentral:lncRNA from 1 species